rnacentral:rRNA from 1 species
AAUAGAUACCCCGGUAGUCCACGCCGUAAACGAUGAAUACUAGGUGUAGGGGUUGUCAUGACCUCUGUGCCGCCGCUAACGCAUUAAGUAUUCCGCCUGGGGAGUACGGUCGCAAGAUUAAAACUCAAAGGAAUUGACGGGGGCCCGCACAAGCAGCGGAGCAUGUGGUUUAAUUCGAAGCAACGCGAAGAACCUUACCUAGACUUGACAUCUCCUGAAUUACUCUGUAAUGGAGGAAGCCACUUCGGUGGCAGGAAGACAGGUGGUGCAUGGUUGUCGUCAGCUCGUGUCGUGAGAUGUUGGGUUAAGUCCCGCAACGAGCGCAACCCUUAUUGUUAGUUGCUACCAUUUAGUUGAGCACUCUAGCGAGACUGCCCGGGUUAACCGGGAGGAAGGUGGGGAUGACGUCAAAUCAUCAUGCCCCUUAUGUCUAGGGCUACACACGUGCUACAAUGGUCGGUACAAUGAGAUGCAACCUCGCGAGAGUGAGCAAAAACUAUAAAACCCGAUCUCAGUUCGGAUUGUAGGCUGAAA